GAUAAAUAGCUUCCCUCCGAAGUUCAUUUAAUCCCCUACUUAAGGUAGGCUUAAAUAGGCUUUGGAGGCGAUUUAUUUCCCUUUCCUAGAAAAAUCUAAUUCCAAGUCCAAGUGGGAAUCUGCAUCAAAGCUGGACAUCACUACACCUGUUGCCCUUUCUUACUAGUAGCCCAGCACGUGUGGGGGCAUUUGUGGAGCCCAAAAUAAUAAAGAAAAUUAUGGAGGUGAUACGUGGACUUUUGGGUUAAAAAGACAAAAUUACCCUCAAGGCACACCAGAAUUUCCACGCGCAUGCAACAGAAAAUAACGGCUUAAUCAAGGAAGAGUCAAAGGUGAUCAAAAUGGCAUUUAUUCAAAUCCCUCUCAUCAAUUCCUUAUUCAAAAGGUAACUCCCAACAUUACAUAUUUAAUUUGGGAUUAAUUACCAUGUUAAUUGCAAGAUAUAUUUCACAUAAUAUCUUGCAAUUAUUUUCCAAUUACACCAUAUAUGGCCGGCCACUAUUCUUCAAAUAAGGUCGGCCACUCCCUUAUAAAUAGCCCUAUUAUCCCACUAAAAAGCUAAGCCAUUGGCUACCCACAAACUUCAUAAAUACAUUCUUUUCAAAAUUCUAACUUUGGCAUCAGAGAUUCUUCGACCAAAGCUGAAGGAAAUAUUUGUUAAAACCAUUUCAUUUGAGCAACAUCUAUGCAUGCUAUUAACAAUUAAAAGGCGGAAUCAUGCUUGUAUGCACUCAAAAACAAACUUAACCUAUGAAAUUCAAAGUCUAGUAGUUAUGGUGAACCAAGACUCAACUAAAAAACAAAGUGAGUUGAGAAAUCUUAUACCUUUGUUGAUUCCUCUUUGCAUAAGCAAAGGCUAAUCACCCAAGAGAGAGGGCCUUCAUCUCUUACUUCUUAGUUCUAUGGAUUUCUUGGAGGAUGAUGGAUGAAUGGAUUCUCCAAGUUCCCAAAAUAGAGAACCUCUAAGUCUCCACACCAAGGAGAGCAUUAAUGAAGAGAUAAGUGACCUAGGAAGAGAUAGAUGCUAGUAAUCUCUCCCUAGGGUGGCUGGCCUUCAUUAGCGAAGAGAGAGCUUUUGUGUUCUCAUCUUUUCCCUUAGAAAACCCUAAUGAUGAAAAUGUUAUAAAGUCCUUUAUAUAGUCCCUUCAAUUAAGUGACCAAAAAGAACCAAAACCCAUUUCCUUCUCUAUAUGGUCGGCCUCUUUGUGCCUUUGGGCUGUUUGGGCCAUUUUGAGUUUUUAGUCACUAAGUUGUCAUACAACUUAUGUUAAUGGGCUUGACAUUCAAAUCCCAUUGGACCUUGAGGCCCAAAACUAACCCGAGGUCUAUAACGAACUUAUUCGUUUGAUUAAUUAACAUAUUAAUUAAUCCUAGCCAUAUAAAAUUAAACCAUUUAAUUAUCCUUACUCAUCUCCGUGGUUUUUUCAAUCUCUACCUUACUCAGUGUACAAUCCAUUAGGUUCCUUUUAGCGAGGCAGUAGGCGAUUAGAACUCUUCAAAUUGAUUGUGAAUUGAAACUUACUUUCAAUU
rnacentral:lncRNA from 1 species